AUCUAUAAGAGGUGAAGAGUUAAUGGUGACUUCCCCCAUAUUUGCAGUUUGGGGGAAGUCACUGCUCACGCUAGGGUGAGACUUUUCAGUGGUGAAGCUCUUUGGGGGCUACCUACAUCCUUCAAAGAACCUCUGGCUUGUGCUUCUGUAGUUCUCUCAAUAGACUCAUUGGAUCACUGAGCUAGACUUGGGCACAAUCAUAACUUUGGUCCCUGGUUUCAGCCUAUCUGGAGUGAACAAACAUUCAUUUGUGAAUUCCCAGGAAAAAUAACGCAACAGGCAGCGAGCAUCAGACAACUGUAUUCCGGCACAUUCUGGAUUGUUCCAAACCUUUCAGCCUUAGAUAUUACUUGAAGCUGCUUAGUGAUUCCUAUCACGUCAUGGUUUUUCAUUUCUUGGCAAAUAUAUUACUUACACUUUGCACUGCAAGUAACGGCUUAUCCACAAUACCCUAACGGAAAAAAAAAGGAAUUUUUUUUUAAAUGGAAAAGUGGGAAGAAAGCCUGUGCAUUCUCCAUUUCCCUGGAGUUUUCAGGGUUGCUUCCCUUCUUCUUCUCACCGAAGAGGGCGAGAUCAGAAAGAUCAUGGCAGAUGCUCUGGCACUCAGGGCUCACAUUGAACUUGGAGCUCAUGAACUACACCUGUUCUGCCAGCCCCUGGCAUACGCCUGUCUCUGCCUGCAAGCACUGGACCACAGACAUGCGCUUGACCAUCAGACUUUUCCCAUGAGCGAGAAGGACCCAGACUCCACACUCCACUGAGCCACCUCUUCUCUUCCAUUCCUCAUGGGAGCCUCAAAAGACUCGAGUGCUAAGAUAUCAAAUAAAAUAAGACGGUUAAAGAGAAGGUGGAUAUGGGCCACUGUCAUCCUGGUAUUUGUGGAAACCAGAGGGUAAGGGAUCCUGGAGAGCUGGAGUUACAGGUGGUGUGAGCUGACAGCAAUCAUGUAACAUGUCUGGUUAUGAUGGACUAGGCACAGAACCAGAGUGGUCUGUAUCCCUGAGCUGCUAAGAGAACUAUGAUUCGGCUUCUGUUAACCAAGCACCAGCUUGAACUAUGAAUAAAACUGUAUUGCUUUAAAGGA